rnacentral:ncRNA from 13 species
CAUAAUACCGCGUUAGUCGGUGCCCUCACGGGCCUAACAGGGAACACAGCAAAACUGUGGCUGCCCCCGCAAUUGUACGCAGCGAGUCCGCGCUCCACUGCCACUGGUUUCGACUGGGAAGGCCGGUACGGACGGCGACCUGCGAGCCAAGAGACCUGCCGACCGGAAUUCUUCGUGC